rnacentral:rRNA from 1 species
ACUCAAAUGAAUUGACGGGGGCCCGCACAAGCGGUGGAGCGUGUGGUUUAAUUCGAUGCUAAGCGAGGAACCUUACCAGGGCUUGAAAUCCAGCUGCACACCCCGAGAAACCGGGGAGCCUUCGAGGGUGCUGGACAGGUGCUGCACGGUUGCCGUCAGCUCGUGAUGUGAAUUGUUCCCUUCAGUGGGGUAACGAGCGCAACCCUUGUCGCAUGUUGUUUUUCAUGCGAGACUGCCGUGGUUAACACGGAGGAAGGUGAGGAUGACGUCAAAUCAGCGUGGUCUUCUGACGCCCUGGGCGACACACGCGCUACAAUGGUUGGGACAAUGAGAUAGUGCAAACUCGCGAGAGGGAGCUAAUCUAUAAACCCAAUCUUAGUUCGGAUUGGAGGCUGCAACUCGCCUCCAUGAAGCUGGAAUCGCUAGUAACCGCAAAUCAGCCACGUUGCGGUGAAUACGUUCUCGGGCUUUGUACACACCGCCCGU